rnacentral:rRNA from 1 species
CACGCCGUAAACGAUGGAUACUAGCUGUUCGGGGCAACCUGAGUGGCUAAGCGAAAGUGAUAAGUAUCCCACCUGGGGAGUACGUUCGCAAGAAUGAAACUCAAAGGAAUUGACGGGGGCCCGCACAAGCGGUGGAGCAUGUGGUUUAAUUCGAUGAUACGCGAGGAACCUUACCAAGGCUUAAAUGUAGAUUGACCGGUUUGGAAACAGAUCUUUCGCAAGACAAUUUACAAGGUGC